rnacentral:rRNA from 1 species
CAGCAGCCGCGGUAAUACAGAGGGUGCGAGCGUUAAUCGGAUUUACUGGGCGUAAAGCGUGCGUAGGCGGCUUCUUAAGUCGGAUGUGAAAUCCCUGAGCUUAACUUAGGAAUUGCAUUCGAUACUGGGAAGCUAGAGUAUGGGAGAGGAUGGUAGAAUUCCAGGUGUAGCGGUGAAAUGCGUAGAGAUCUGGAGGAAUACCGAUGGCGAAGGCAGCCAUCUGGCCUAAUACUGACGCUGAGGUACGAAAGCAUGGGGAGCAAACAGGAUUAGAUCCCCGAGUAGUCCCUGUCUCUUAUAA